UACGUAAGGUGCAAGCGUUGUCCGGAAUUAUUGGGCGUAAAGAGCUCGUAGGCGGUCUGUCGCGUCUGCUGUGAAAACUCAGGGCUUAACCCUGAGCUUGCAGUGGGUACGGGCAGACUAGAGUGCGGUAGGGGAGACUGGAAUUCCUGGUGUAGCGGUGAAAUGCGCAGAUAUCAGGAGGAACACCGGUGGCGAAGGCGGGUCUCUGGGCCGUAACUGACGCUGAGGAGCGAAAGCAUGGGGAGCGAACAGG
rnacentral:rRNA from 1 species